rnacentral:rRNA from 1 species
UACGUAGGGGGCCAGCGUUGUCCGGAAUCAUUGGGCGUAAAGCGCGCGUAGGCGGUCAGGUAAGUCCGGUGUGAAAGUCAAAGGCUCAACCUUUGAAUGCCGCUGGAUACUGCUUGACUUGAGUCCGGUAGGGGCAGAGGGAAUUCCCGGUGGAGCGGUGAAAUGCGUAGAGAUCGGGAAGAACGCCAAGGGCGAAGGCACUCUGCUAGGCCUGAUUUCGCGACUGACACUCAGGGACGAGAGCCAGGGGAGCGAAUGGG